rnacentral:rRNA from 1 species
AACGAACGCUGGCGGCAUGCCUAACACAUGCAAGUCGAACGAGACCUUCGGGUCUAGUGGCGCACGGGUGCGUAACGCGUGGGAACCUGCCCUUAGGCUCGGAAUAACUCCCCGAAAGGGGUGCUAAUACCGGAUAAUUUCUUCGGACCAAAGAUUUAUCGCCUUUGGAUGGGCCCGCGUUGGAUUAGCUAGUUGGUAGGGUAAAAGCCUACCAAGGCGACGAUCCAUAGCUGGUCUGAGAGGAUGAUCAACCACACUGGGACUGAGACACGGCCCAGACUCCUACGGGAGGCAGCAGUGGGGAAUAUUGGACAAUGGGCGAAAGCCUGAUCCAGCAAUGCCGCGUGAGUGAUGAAGGCCUUAGGGUUGUAAAGCUCUUUUACCCGGGAUGAUAAUGACAGUACCGGGAGAAUAAGCUCCGGCUAACUCCGUG